GUCACAGGCGGGGCCUCGGACCCCGCCCUCCGCCUUCCCCGGGAUUCCGUGCUGUGCGGGCCGGGCGCUGGCGUUGGAUUGAGAUUCAUGGACUAUCUGCCAUGCCCCAAACACCAGGCAGAGUGCUAAGGGGACACAAAGAUGAAUAAGAUGUGACCCCUGCUCUCUAGGAUCCUGUCGCAUAGAUGAAGAGAUAGAACAUAUCCAUAAAAAGAUAACUAAUGACCGACAUUGCGUGCUGCCGACACGUGUUAUGGUCCUGCGGGCUACAGAAAUUCAGAGGAGGAAGACAGAUGACUGCAGUGUGGCAGCUGCUCCUCGGGCACUUACAGGAGCUUGUUAGGAUGAGGACAGAAGACUUCAUAGCACAGAGGGAACUGUGACACCAGCUUUAUAUCACACGAUAGAAAAUACCCAGUUCUGUGAGUUGACUGGGCAUUCUGCAUCACAAGGUGUGGCUGGGCACUGGAACAGCCGAAGUCACCUGGGAGCUGACUGGGUUGGACUGUCCAGGAUGGUUCACUCCUACGACAGUGGAUGCUCAACUGGGGCUGUCAACUGGAGCCCCCAUAGAUGGCCGUCUUCUCAUUGUAUCUUAACAUGGUGGAAGGAGAAUGAGAAAGCUCGCUUGUGUCUCUUUUUAUAAGGGCACUAAUCCAGACGCGGAGGGCUCACCUUUACAACAGCUAAACCUGAUCACCCCCCAGAGGCCCCAUCUCCAAAUACCAUCACAUUGGGGAUUGUGCUUUGACAUAUGAAUGUGGGAGGACACGAGCAUUCAGUCCAUAACAGGCACCAAGGCACCAAGUCAGUCUGCACAAGUGUGUCGCUGGGCAGAAGAACAAAAGAGAAGGAAGAAGAAAGAACACAGUACAGAAAGUGAGUGGCGGUACCACAAAGAGUCAUCAGCAAGUGCUGAUGGUGGCUCCGGCCAGCACAUUCCAAGCAUCCUUGGGUAGCCUGAUAAAUGGAGUGCAGAAUGUUCGGUAGCUCUGCAAGGAGUGGGAGUAUUUAUUGGGUCUGAGUGCUUGAUGCGAAACUUUCCUCCAAAGUUCCAAUUUUCUAUCCGCCAAGAUAAGUGAUGGAGGUUUAUGGUUCAUGUUGUAGCACAUCCACCCAGGCCAAGGACCUACAACUCUGAAUUUCUGGCCUGCCUCCUUCCAGCUAGAAGUGAAUCUAGAUUUACAUGCCAUCAGGAACAAGCAUCGUCUUCCUGUUCUGUGAGUUCCUAGUUGUAGUAGGUACUGCUUUCAUCCUGAGAAUAUCAAUCUACAUGCACAAGGUCCCUCUCUGUGGAGGAGUAGGUACUUAAACCCAAGAUAAGUGGAAACUUUAUAUCCAAGGAGACAGAAAAUAAAAUUUCAGUAUGUUUUAUAUUAAACAA
rnacentral:lncRNA from 1 species